rnacentral:misc_RNA from 1 species
UCAACUAAUGAUAGUUCUUAUGCCUUUCUCUUUCUUCUUUGUGGGGGUGGGAAAAUUACAUAAAACUGCCUUUACGGGUGUUUAGCUUUUAUAUCCUCCCUGUAAGGAUUCCAUUUCGGUUAGUAGUCUCAUAAACGCUUAUUGCUCAUCUAGUCGAAAAGAUAAUCCAUUGUUUUUUUCAAGUCAUAAGAGCAAGAGCAAUUUCUAACUGCUCUAGUCCGUAUGUAAGUAUUUACUAGCAAGUAAAAUAGCAUAAAACUUUUUAUAAUUAGCUAGAACUCAGACUCGUCUGUUUCCCCCUUGUACUCUACUUUAUCUUCUUCCAAAUCAGAGAACGAUUCCCUGAAUGAGUCUCCAGUGACUGCAUCUGGCUGACGGUCUAUCUCUUGAGCCGCUAUCUCUCCUGGUCUUUCCUGAUUGCUGGCAGCAUUAACUUGUUCAGCAUCAGCACUGUUUUCUACGUUCAUAUUCCUGUUGUUUCUGUUUUCUUCAAUGCCACUAAUUUCUUGGCCUUCAUUUUGUCGGACUUCAUCCAAGCUCUCUUUCUUGUCUUUGCUGCUGAUGUCAUUGGCAUUACCGUGAAAGCUUUCAUUUGUCAACAGCUGCCCAUCCUGAGAUAUAUGGGGCCUUUUCCGCAUCUCAUGCACUCUCUUUAAAUGGUAAUUUGUAUCAUCUAUUGCAGGUUUGACUUUCUGGUCUUCAGAGACUUCAGGGUUUUGAGGUUCCAGCAAUUUGGCUUUAGAAAAAUCAUCUGCUCUUGUCACUUCCAGUGGGUUAUUUCUGCUCUUUACUGUCUCGGUGUCUGUUCUUCCCUCAUUAGAAGCUGUUGCCUCUUCUCUGUCUAGCAGUCCGUUCUGAUCAUGAUGAGAAAAUUUUCUUGUUUUCAGGCGCUGACCUCCAUUGUCUUCAUAAUUUCUUCUGUUCUCCAACCACCUGUUCCUAGCAAGUAUUCUCCAUCGCUUUCCUUUUGCAUGUUUGCCCUUCACCCUAGAGGUGGAACUUCUAAUGUUGUCUAGCAAUUCCAACUUCACCUCACCCUUAAAGGUCCCUUGAUCCCGGCCCUCUUCUUGUUGAGUACUUUCGAGUCCCAGCUGCUUAUCAUCUCUGGCCACUUUAUGCUCUUUGUCAUCCGCUGAUUUCAUGUCACUGUUAGCAUCUUCGUUUUGUGACACUUUCCCAAUUGAGCUGACAACUCUUUCAGAUGCAUUUGAAAUAUUAUUUUCCUGUCCUGCACCAAAAGCACCAUUGUCUGGAGAACUUCCCUUCUUUUUUCCAUGACUAGUAUCAACUGCGCCUUCGUUUCUUAGACCUUCAACUGAACUUUCCAGCUUCCUCGACUGUUCUUCAAUGGACACUUCCCUCCUAUCAAGAAUGGCUGCCUCGUUUUCAAUUCUAUUUUGAAGCCUGGCAGUAUUCUCACCCUUUACUAGAGUGGUGGAUGUAUUGUCACUUCUAUCGCCUCUUAUUGAAUUCGCACCAUUACUGUAAUUUGUAGAUUCAUGCAAUUGUCCACCCGCUGCUUUACUGUCGCUGAUCUGUGUCUUAUGUGCCAAAUUUGCGGUGACAUUUAAAUUUGUUUGUGGGUUUGAUGGGUCAUCUGUACUUACUGACAAUAUCUUAAUUGGAUUUUCAAAACGGUGCUUUAAAUCCUCAAUUUCAGUUUCCUUUUGCUUCAGACUUUCCAUCAGAGCUAUCAUUUGAGGAUUUUCGUUCUCUGUAUCUAUGUUUGUUUCUCUAUGCAUUUUGAUCUCCUGCUGCUUCUCCUUGAGUGCAGACUCCAUGAUUUUCUGUUCAUCCUUUAGGGAAUCAAUUGUGGACUGCAUCUCCACAAUUCUUCCGUUAGUCUCCAUCUUUUGGGUUCUGAGAGAGUAUAUCUUCGCUUUCAUCUCUUCAGUCUUCCUUUUCAUUUCUUUGUUGUACUCUCUUUCCUUCUGUAAGAGAAGCUGAAGCGAAAGGAGUUCACGGUCCUUCUCUUUGACAAGGAGGUUGAAGAUGCGUCUCUCUCUAAGCUUGUGGAUCACCAUGACUCCAAGUAACGCAGCUCCAAAUGCCAAAAGCAGCAUCAUCCCGUAUGGCUUCCCUCUGUUGCCACCGCUGUUUCCUUUGUGUGAUCCUCCCAUAGCCAUCUUCUUCUCUCUCUCUCUCUCUC